GCGCCAGGCCGCGUCUUACCAUGCAAGUCGAGCGGAAGGCCCUUUCGGGGGUACUCGAGCGGCGAACGGGUGAGUAACACGUGAGUAAUCUGCCCUUCACUUUGGGAUAGCCACCGGAAACGGUGAUUAAUACCGGAUAUGACAUGGUCUCGCAUGGGGUUGUGUGGAAAGUUUUUCGGUGAGGGAUGUGCUCGCGGCCUAUCAGCUUGAUGGUGAGGUAAUGGCUCACCAUGGCUUCGACGGGUAGCCGGCCUGAGAGGGUGACCGGUCACACUGGGACUGAGACACGGCCCAGACUCCUACGGGAGGCAGCAGUGGGGAAUAUUGGACAAUGGGCGGAAGCCUGAUCCAGCAACGCCGCGUGAGGGAUGACGGCCUUCGGGUUGUAAACCUCUUUCAGUAUUGACGAAGUUGUGUCUUUUUGGGCGCAGUGACGGUAGGUACAGAAGAAGCACCGGCCAACUACGUGCCAGCAGCCGCGGUAAUACGUAGGGUGCGAGCGUUGUCCGGAAUUAUUGGGCGUAAAGGGCUCGUAGGCGGUUUGUCGCGUCGGGAGUGAAAACGCCGUGCUUAACACGGCGCUUGCUUUCGAUACGGGCAGACUAGAGGUAUGCAGGGGAGAACGGAAUUCCUGGUGUAGCGGUGAAAUGCGCAGAUAUCAGGAGGAACACCGGUGGCGAAGGCGGUUCUCUGGGCAUGACCUGACGCUGAGGAGCGGAAGUGUGGGGAGCGAACAGGAUUAGAUACCCUGGUAGUCCACACCGUAAACGUUGGGCGCUAGGUGUGGGGUCCAUUCCACGGAUUCCGUGCCGCAGCUAACGCAUUAAGCGCCCCGCCUGGGGAGUACGGCCGCAAGGCUAAAACUCAAAGGAAUUGACGG
rnacentral:rRNA from 1 species